rnacentral:rRNA from 1 species
UACGUAGGGUCCGAGUUUUUUUUUUUUUUUUUUGGCGUAAAGAGCUCGUAGGCGGUUUGUCGCGUCUGCUGUGAAAUCCCGAGGCUCAACCUCGGGUCUGCAGUGGGUACGGGCAGACUGGAGUGCGGUAGGGGAGAAUGGAAUUCCUGGUGUAGCGGUGGAAUGCGCAGAUAUUAGGAAGAACACCAGUGGCGAAGGCGGCUCACUGGCCCGGUACUGACGCUGAGGCGCGAAAGCGUGGGGAGCAAACAGG